AACGAACGCUGGCGGCAGGCCUAACACAUGCAAGUCGAGCGCUCUCUUGGACUUCGGUUCAACGGGGGAGCGGCGGACGGGUGAGUAACGCGUGGGAAUGUGCCUCUGGGUGCGGAACAACCGUUGGAAACGACGGCUAAUACCGCAUGACGACUUUGGUCCAAAGAUUUAUCGCCCAGAGAUCAGCCCGCGUUGGAUUAGCUAGUUGGGGGGGUAACGGCCCACCAAGGCGACGAUCCAUAGCUGGUUUGAGAGGAUGAUCAGCCACACUGGGACUGAGACACGGCCCAGACUCCUACGGGAGGCAGCAGUGGGGAAUCUUGGACAAUGGGCGCAAGCCUGAUCCAGCCAUGCCGCGUGAGCGAUGAAGGCCUUAGGGUUGUAAAGCUCUUUCACCGGUGAAGAUAAUGACGGUAGCCGGAGAAGAAGCCCCGGCUAACUCCGUGCCAGCCGCCGCCGUAAUAC
rnacentral:rRNA from 1 species